GAUGAACGCUGGCGGCGUGCCUAAUACAUGCAAGUCGAGCGAACAGACGAGGAGCUUGCUCCUCUGACGUUAGCGGCGGACGGGUGAGUAACACGUGGAUAACCUACCUAUAAGACUGGGAUAACUUCGGGAAACCGGAGCUAAUACCGGAUAAUAUAUUGAACCGCAUGGUUCAAUAGUGAAAGACGGUUUUGCUGUCACUUAUAGAUGGAUCCGCGCCGCAUUAGCUAGUUGGUAAGGUAACGGCUUACCAAGGCAACGAAGCGUAGCCGACCUGAGAGGGGGAUCGGCCACACUGGAACGGAGAACCGGGCCAGACCCCUACGGGAGGCAGCAGUAGGGAAACUUCCGGAAAGGGGGAAAGCUUGACGGAGCAACGCCGCGUGAGUGAUGAAGGUUUUCGGAUCGGAAAACCUUGUUAUUAGGGAAGAACAAAUGUGUAAGUAACUAUGCACGUCUUGACGGUACCUAAUCAGAAAGCCACGGCUAACUACGUG
rnacentral:rRNA from 1 species